rnacentral:tRNA from 1 species
GCAAAGGGUUAAUGUGCUCAGCUGUUAACUGAAAGGUUGGGGGUUCAAGUCCCCC